rnacentral:tRNA from 1 species
GGGGACAUGGUCUAGUGGUAUGACGGAUCCUUAGCAUGAUGCGGGCCUCCGGGCCGUAAGCUCAUAGACCUGGAUCAGGUCCGGGGUUCGAUUCCCCGUGUCUCCA